UGGAUGGCGUGGGUCGGCAGGCUCCGUGCUCGUGCAUCGAACUGCCGGCGCCCCAUCCGCUUCAGUCUUGCCCCGAGCGCAGCUCCUGCCUCGCGGGYGCUAUGAGGUAUCCUGUGUUGCUUACCCGCGGAAAGGAAUUCGAUGGUUUUGGUGCCCCCAUCCGCCUUGCGCCCUUCGGGGUGCGGGGCGGACGCUGGGCGUGCUCCGUGUUCCCCGCGUGUCGAGUGCCUUGACGCUCGGCCGCUGUGGCCCACGGGGUCUCGGCCCGUGCUCUCGGAUGCGGAAUGUUGUGUGUGGGCGUGGGGUCUCGGCCUCGGCUCGUCCAAGCUGCACGCAUUGUCCCUUGACGUGAAUGACCGCCGUGCCCGUCUUGAUCGGCCGACCGAGCCCCCGUGGCGGGGCUCCGGGAGGGCGGCUCAUGCGGGCGUCGGCGUCGGARAGGAAUGC
rnacentral:misc_RNA from 1 species